rnacentral:rRNA from 1 species
GAUGAACGAGGGGGGAGGGAGGAAUACAUGCAAGUCGAGCGAACAGACGAGGAGCUUGCUCCUCUGACGUUAGCGGCGGACGGGUGAGUAACACGUGGAUAACCUACCUAUAAGACUGGGAUAACUUCGGGAAACCGGAGCUAAUACCGGAUAAUAUAUUGAACCGCAUGGUUCAAUAGUGAAAGACGGUUUUGCUGUCACUUAUAGAUGGAUCCGCGCCGCAUUAGCUAGUUGGUAAGGUAACGGCUUACCAAGGCAACGAUGCGUAGCCGACCUGAGAGGGUGAUCGGCCACACUGGAACUGAGACACGGUCCAGACUCCUACGGGAGGCAGCAGUAGGGAAUCUUCCGCAAUGGGCGAAAGCCUGACGGAGCAACGCCGCGUGAGUGAUGAAGGUCUUCGGAUCGUAAAACUCUGUUAUUAGGGAAGAACAAAUGUGUAAGUAACUAUGCACGUCUUGACGGUACCUAAUCAGAAAGCCACGGCUAACUACGUG